rnacentral:tRNA from 1 species
GGCCUAAUGGACAAGGCGUCUGACUUCGGGUCAGAAGAUUUAGGGUUCAAAUCCCUU